rnacentral:snoRNA from 1 species
GGGCGAUGAUGAUAAAUCUAAGGCUUGUUUCUCAAAACAUUCGCAGUUGCCGCCUAAGAGCUUUCGCCCUGCCAGGCUUGAGAGCUAAUGCUGCUAAUUCCUUCCUUGGAUGUCUGAGCCA